AGCUCGUAAGAAGGGUUUUGAGGGGAUCAAUUUCGGGUACAGAUAAGGCCUGUUUGGGAUACCCGUUUGGGUGAGGAAAUGUUUAUAAUUAUAAAUUAUUUUCUUUUCCUUUAAUUCCCUUCCCAAGCACCGUUUCCCCAAACCCGACGCCGAUCCCUCCCCUCCUCCCUUCCCCGACCUCCCUUCCUUCUCCGAUCUCCCUCGCAGACGAGCGACGCCGAUGAGAGUGAGGCUCUAGCUCCGGCGAUCUCCCUUUGUAGUCAUCGACCCUCAAGCUCAAAUCCAGCCGAAGCUUUUCUUCUCGCUCUGAUCUCUCUGUUCUUCACGGGGACGAACCGACACCGACGAUCGCCGGAGUAGAUCUAUUGCCAGGGCAUCAAGGGUGAGCUAUCUUGUUCUUCCUUGAUUUCCCGUAAGCCUCAGCGCCAAAUCUUCCCUUGAUUCCUCCUCUUCCUUUGGUGGCGUUGUGCCCUAGCGGGAUCUUGAAGCCACCUCAACUCUGUUGGGGAUUGUUUUCUUCAUCGAAGCUGUGAUCCUCUCCGGUGAUUGAAGUCUCGGUGAAGAGGUGGAGUGUUUGAGGUGAUGCAUGACAGGUGUUUGAUGAAAUGCUUUGUGCUCUUGUCUCCUUUGUUUGUGCCGGUGUCGCCCUAUCCUCUGCCCUAGCUCAUUGCCGCAGCGACAACCUGAUUCCACCUAGGAGAGAUCUUGGAUAUGGUAUACGGUGUUGCUCCGAUGAGGAUUAAAUAUGGGAGGUUAGCUGAUCAGAGAUAGAGUUUCAGUGUAGGGAUCUAUUUGAGGUGUUGUUGCUAGAACAGUGGGCGUUCACUGCAAGGAAAUGUUGUCGGGCAGUGAAACAUUGGAGAAGGGGUUGUUGACAGGGAGUUAAGGUUAGUAGGAGAUGGAAAUGUGGGCAACAGUGAGCAUCACACCUGUGGCUUCCAAUAGUGGGUUGCUCGGAUCACAUGCUAACAGUGGAGUGCAAUGGAAUUGGGACUUGGAUUCGGGACGAGCGUCUCGACGUGGGAUUUCCGGACACGAUCUACGUAUUAAGG